AGGAGGGCCGGUCUAACACACAGGCCCUGCUGCAUAGUGUGGUUACUGCAGCCAGGCUAUUUAUAUGUGUCUCUUCUUCAGAGAAGGAAGCUGGACCUAUUGAAUCCAGAUGUGAGAGGACAGACAGAAGGCACAAGACAGAACCAGAGCUGGAGGAGACAGACUGGGCCAGAGUGGCAGCCUACGGUGUCUGAACAAGGAACACUCAGUCACAAAAAAGGACAUAUUGUGCCGGCUCUGCGCUCCAGACCUCCAGUGAUGAUCCAUAGCCCGGAGCCUCCAGUGACGAUCCACGGUCCGGUUCCUCCGGCGACGAUCCACGGUCCGGAGCUUCCGGUGAUGAUCUACGGUCCGGAGCCCCCGGCGACGAUCCACGGUCUGGUUCCUCCGGUGACGAUCCACCGUCCGGAGUCUCUAGCGAGGAUCCACGGUCCGGAGUCUCUAGCGAGGAUCCAUGGUCCGGAGCUUCCGGCGAUGAUCCCCGCACCAGAGUCGCCACCUGAGCUGGCGGAUCCGCAAGCGGAACGCGGUCGUAGUCCCGCACCGGAGCCGCUACCGAGGCUGGAUGCCCACCCGGACCCUCCCCUAUAGAGUCAGAUUUUGCGGCCAGAGUCCGCACCGUUGGGGGAGUACUAUCAUGCCCUGACCUUAGAGAUCCUUUUAUUUAUCUAUUUGGUUAGGUCAGGGUGUGACUAGGGUGGACAUUCUAUUUUUUCGUUUCUAGGCAGAGGCAGCUGUCUAUCAUUGUCUCUGAUUGGGGAUCAUAUUUAGGCAUCCUUUUUCCACCUGUUGUGUGUGGGAUCUUGUUUUUGUAUUGUAGCCUUUUUGCACUACAAAGAUGCACGUUUGUUUUGUUACCCUUUAUUGUUUUGUUGCUGGCUCACAUUAAUAAAACUGGAUGAACACUU